UNGUGCAUCAUCAGUCUUUGCUUACACUGU
rnacentral:piRNA from 1 species